rnacentral:tRNA from 2 species
GCGGGCGUAGCUCAGUGGUAGAGCACCUGCUUGCCAUGCAGGGGGUCGCGGGUUCAAAUCCCGUCGCCCGCU